UACCACAASDWVCUUGCUCCUUCGGUGACGARCGGCGGACGGGUGAGURVUGUCUGGGAAACUGCCCGAUGGAGGGGGAUAACUACUGGAAACGGUAACMAAUACCGACAUARARUCUUCGGACCAAAGUGGGGGACCUUCGGGCCUCACACCAUCGGAUGUGCCCAGAUGGGAUUAGCUAGUAGGUGAGGUAUAUGGCUCACCUAGGCGACGAUCCCUAGCUGGUCUGAGAGGAUGACCAGCCACACUGGAACUGAGACACGGUCCAGACURAWACGGGAGGSAGCSGUUGGGAAUAUUGCACAAUGGGCGCMAGCUDGAUGCAGCCAUGCCGCGUGUGUGAAGAAGGCCUUCGGGUUGUAAAGCACUUUCAGCGAGGAGGAAGGGUUCAGUGUUAAUAGCACCGUUCAUUGACGUUACUCGCAGAAGAAGCACCGGCUAACUCCGUGCCAGCMGCMGCRGUAAUACGGAGGGUGCMAGCGUKAAUCGGAAUUACUGGGGCGUUAAGCGCACGCAGGCGGUUUGUUAAGUYAGAAGUSAAAWCCCCSAGCUUMACUUGGGAACUGCAUUUG
rnacentral:rRNA from 1 species